UGCUUCCUUUAAAAUUCAGUUAGUUCACCUCGGCCAGCAACUCCCGCGCCAAAGCCGCCCUGAGGGCGUACAGGACGGCGACGUGUUCGAGGACUGCGACUGGUGGCAGAUACAACUAAAUUCAGGGUGUUCUUAUGCUCUUUUCUUUUUAAGUGCGUUCAAUAAAGUCAUCUUGAAAAUGCUAAAAGAGAAUUGCAGUCUUCUCCCUCAACAAAAGUUUGGAUUCUAAAGGCCAUUGACAAAAAAAGCUCCGGACGCCUCCCUCCGAGAUCUGGCCGCCUUCCCCCUAAGGUCCCAUGGACGCACCGCCACCGCCCAACCCCUCCUUCCGCAAGGUAGCGCUCUGGGCAGCCCUCCUUGCCGCGGUGGCCCUGCUGGCCAUUGGCGGCAGAACCUGGGUGGCGGGUGCUGGCAUGCUUCUUCUCCGGCGAGGACGCCGUGCUACAUCGGCGCCGCCACACAUGUUUUGUUCUCGCUAGUAUAUUUCCUGUAGCAGUUCUUCAGUGCACACAAAAAAGACUAGCAUUUCAAUUACUAUCAAUUACUAAAUUCUUCAGUUCAGUUCAAUUACUGAAAUUAUUUCAGUUCAAUUCUUUUAAUAAGUUUCAUUUCGAAUAUAUUAUUUCAGUUCAGUUCAGUUUAGUUUGAUGUAGUGCAAAAAUUCUGAAACUACUAGAUCCGUGUGAGUAUUUUGGGUUAGGGUAAUGCAUGUCUAACUAAUUUUUUUAUUGUUGUACUAAUGGCCGUUUGUGUGCAGUGCUAAUGGCAGUACAUUUUGGGUUAGGGUAAUGGAUGUCUGACCAAAGAAAUUAUUGUCGUACUAAUGUCAGUACUAAUGGCGGUUUGUGUGCAGUGCUAAUGGAAGUACGAUGGAUGAUAGACUACAUAAAUUAUUGUUGUGUGUGUGAUGGAUGAUACCACUUGCUUUUCAUAACAUAAAAGAUAUACAUUCAAUUUUAGGAUUGACGAGGCCAUGUCUGCCUCGGCUUUCUGGGAUCUUGAACAAUGGAAUGACGAUACACACUGAAAUGGCAUACAGAAAUCUGAAUGCUCACACUUGCUACUUGCUAGAGCUGAUACUAGGCUUAUUUUCAUUAUGACACUUGCUACUUGUAGUUGUCAUGGGUGCCCGUUGAAAUAAGUUGUUUUUGUUAACAUGAUAUUGGUCAAUUAAUUUUACAGACCUCUUAUUGGAAUUGGGGCUGCAACUAAAGUAGCAAACACGACUACGUGAGAAGGGUGAGAAUUAGUGGGAGCAGGGUAUGGAUGAGGAAGGAGCACCAGUAUCUUCAAUGUUGCUGCUGUUUUGUUUCCAUCCCUCUCACGUGUGAAGAAUUUUGUUGGAGCUGGAUGAGACUUUUGUCGUUCCCCUUGUACUCCUUCAUAUAAUCAGUUCACGUUUUCAAACCAUGUAAGGUCAACCUCCUGGGAUACACGAAGUUUCAGUUCGUCGAGAGGCUUCCUGGAGCUUCAAAACAUUUCACUUCAACUUUUUAGGCUUUUUCAGUACAUCUUCGACGCUUGCCCUGCUCCCUGGAGUAGCGCCUUCGACGCUUGCCCUGCUCCAGCAGUCGUCAUUGUGAGGAUUAGCCACCGUCUAUUUGGUGCGGGACCUACCUGCGAUGGUCCCAUCUAUUGUGAGGUUGCAGCAAAAACAAGAUGCACAUGUUCAUUUUUUGUAUGCUUUUCAGUACAUCUACUUCCUGACAGUCUGAAUAUGUUGCCCCCACCAUGCCGAUUUACUGCUGCGACCUCGUUGAUUCCCCGCCUUCGAACUGCUCCCUCAAUCCCCUCCGUGGACCACUGCCGACGGUGGGCUGCACCUUCCACGGGAAGCCACGUGACCGUGUAGACGCACGUCUUCAUUGAGUCGCUCACUGCGCAUAUGUGUGUGUGUUGUGUUUGUGUGUGCGUGGCCGCGACCAUGCUUCGCAUUUCGGUGUUGUCUAUGUGUGGUCGUGUGGUCGUCUCACCUCAAACACAUCCUAGGCCGGUGCAUGAGUUGCUGAGGAAACGCCCAAGGUUGUGGCCUCUCGACCACAACUUCAUCUCAUGGAAGUUGUUGGAUGUGGACAGCCAGAACGAGUUCAAUUCCAGAUGGCUCAUCGAGGAGAAAAAGAAGAGGAACUUGAGUGGUUUCUCUGUGGAGAAGGGCAGAAGAAAUUGUGCUCUGAACAUGCUUGUUGAUACGCCCAUGAGAACGGGUGCAUUUUUCUAUAGAUUUUUAUGUUGCUGACAAAGCUACACAAGUUGUAUUUUUACAAGUUGAACUUAACAAUAUCCUCUAGAAAGUUCGUGCAUGUGUGGAUGUUCUUUUGACAUUGAACUGUUAAGUGCUUGCAAAAUCUACAG